rnacentral:rRNA from 1 species
GACAGAGGAUGCAAGCGUUAUCCGGAAUGAUUGGGCGUAAAGCGUCUGUAGGUGGCUUUUCAAGUCCGCCGUCAAAUCCCAGGGCUCAACCCUGGACAGGCGGUGGAAACUACCGAGCUGGAGUACGGUAGGGGCAGAGGGAAUUUCCGGUGGAGCGGUGAAAUGCAUUGAGAUCGGAAAGAACACCAGCGGCGAAAGCAGCGUCCUGGGAAGCAUCUGACGCUCAGGUGCGAAAGCUAGGGGAGCGAACGGG